rnacentral:lncRNA from 10 species
GCGGGGCCUGCCGCCGCCACCGCCUCAGGGAAGAGGAAGGAGGCCGCGGCUUCGCGUCCCGCCUCUCGCCUGGCUGGCCGUGGGGGGCCUGGACGCAGUGGCCUCCCGAAUCUCCCAGGACCCUAAUAUCGCCCGAGGAUGCUGGGAGGAACGCUGAGCCGACCUCUCCGUUAGGCUGAAGAUUGCACAAACCAUGCUAAUGGCCAGCAUGGAUGGAGGGAGCGUGUGAGAUGUGUGGGGCAGCGUGCUGCAUCUCAGCCAACUCCAGGAGCCAGUUGAUGUGAUGGACUACCUUAAUUGAUUUUUGAAUGUUGAGCCAGCCUUAUGCAUGUGGGAUAAACCCCUGUUGAUCAUGGACAUUUUUAAAUUCUAGGUAUAGAGCAAUAAAAGAAGAAUUCAAGCAAAGGGAUCAGGAAGAGGAUUGCUACUAAGAGGCAGAGAAACCAAUGAAGCCUUUUGCCAUCUCACACUGGAAAGACAAAAAGUCAUAGAGGCUUGAUUUUUAUAAGGAAAGAGAAGUGAGAAACUGACCUCGAUACUUUGUUGGACUUGCCUAAAGACAUUUGCUGAAUUCUCGGGCUGUGCUGGGAUGGAGAUUAGAGGCCAAAUAAAAACCUCUGGGCCUGUCUUGAGAUGCACCUUGUUUGCCCACGGGGGAAACGUGCUUUGGAAAGUGCUGGACACCAUGGCUGUGCAGGCCCAAGAAGGAAGCAUGCUCAUGGCAAUACCCGGAGUCUCCACUGCAAGACCAGAGUGACGGAGGCAGCAGAGCUCCUCAGCAGGCCAGGAGUCUCCAGAGGCACUGCCGAAUGUCUAAGAAGCAACCUCAUUGUAUUCCCAAGACCUGGGAAUCCAGGUCUCGCAGAUACGAUGAUACAAUCUAUAGCCAGGACAUCUCUUCAUGUGUAGGAUAAGCAACUAUCCCAGUCUUCCCAGGAUUGAGGGGCUUCUCCAGAUGCUGCACUUCUGGUGCUAAAAAUGAGAAACUGAAAUGAAUUAGUCACCCAAGGAAUGCUGACCCUGUGCUAUAUGAUCACAUUUACUCUUUAAAGCAAUGCUUUGAG